CACGCCCACUUGGCCCGGGCCGGCCCGCGGCCGGCGUCGGGGCCCUCUCCCCGCCGGUGCCAUCGCGACCCGGCCGACCUCGGAACCUAACACCGGCGAGCUGGGGUUCAAUAUCUCCUUGUUUUAUGUUUUAUGGUUAUUUUGUUUAAAUUUUUGAUGG